rnacentral:rRNA from 1 species
UACGUAGGGUGCAAGCGUUGUCCGGAAUUAUUGGGCGUAAAGAGCUCGUAGGCGGUUCGUCGCGUCGGCUGUGAAAACCCGAGGCUCAACCUCGGGCCUGCAGUCGAUACGGGCAAACUAGAGUACUGCAGGGGAGACUGGAAUUCCUGGUGUAGCGGUGAAAUGCGCAGAUAUCAGGAGGAACACCGGUGGCGAAGGCGGGUCUCUGGGCAGUAACUGACGCUGAGGAGCGAAAGCGUGGGGAGCGAACAGG